rnacentral:rRNA from 1 species
UAGGGAAUCUUCCGCAAUGGACGCAAGUCUGACGGAGCAACGCCGCGUGAGUGAAGAAGGAUUUCGGUUCGUAAAACUCUGUUGUUAGAGAAAAACAGCGCAUAGAGUAACUGUUAUGCGUGUGACGGUAUCUAACCAGAAAGCCACGGCUAACUACGUGCCAGCAGCCGCGGUAAUACGUAGGUGGCAAGCGUUGUCCGGAUUUAUUGGGCGUAAAGCGAGCGCAGGCGGUCAAUUAAGUCUGAUGUGAAAGCCCCCGGCUCAACCGGGGAGGGUCAUUGGAAACUGGUUGACUUGAGUGCAGAAGAGGAGAGUGGAAUUCCAUGUGUAGCGGUGAAAUGCGUAGAUAUAUGGAGGAACACCAGUGGCGAAGGCGACUCUCUGGUCUGUAACUGACGCUGAGGUUCGAAAGCGUGGGUAGCAAACAGG